rnacentral:rRNA from 1 species
CAAUAGCGUAUAUUAAAGUUGUUGCAGUUAAAAAGCUCGUAGUUGGAUUUCUGGUCGGAAGCUCCUGUCCUCUGAUGAGCGUACAAGUGCGUCCUACCAUCCUUCUGUUAACCUUUAAGGCUUUCGCGGCUUUCUAGGGGCUCAGAUAUUUUACCUUGAGAAAAUUAGAGUGUUUCAGGCAGGCUAGCGCCGGAAUACAUUAGCAUGGAAUAAUGGAAUAGGACUUUUGCCUCUUCUGUUGGUCAUGAGGCUCGAGUAAUGAUUAAUAGGGAUAGUUGGGGGCAUUAGUACUUAACUGUCAGAGGUGGAAUUCUCGGAUUUGUUAAAGACUAACUUAUGCGAAAGCAUUUGCCAAGGAUGUUUUCAUUAA